CCCGGGUCGGUUCGGGACUCGCGGGCGGGGCGGGGACGGCGGGCCGGGCCGGGCCGGAGAGCAGGAGCCGGGGAGGUCGCCCGCCCCUUCCGGACGCUGCGGCUUGGGCAUCGCCGGGCCGUCCUGCCACGCGCGGUCCCCCCGAAGGGAGUUGAGACGCUCCUGGACCUCGCCACCCGGCUGCCACCAAUGCGGGCCCGGGGCCUGAGCUCGGGGAGUGAGCUCGCGGCCGCAAGGCCAACGCUCACACUUUGGUGCCCGGAGCGCGAGCGACGGAGUGCCGGCCAGCCUGCGGACCUGGGGCCGGCCCGGCUCUCUCACCCGGGCUUUGGGAACCUGGAGGAGUCGCCAACUUCUUUGUACCUCCGUUCCCUCUUCUGUGAAAAGGGAACAUAACAGCACCCAUCUCACCGAGUGGUUGGGGACAGUAAAUGAGCUAACUGUGCACCAGCGCCAGGCAGAGAGUCGAUACCACACGAGCGUCCCCGGCUAGUUUUAUUGUUGUUGGCAACCCGUGUGACCACCUGCCUUGCUCCAUGCCCUGGGUUGGAGGCUUCGUGAGGUGGAGACCGUAUCACGCUCUGCUCUGGUCUCAGCACAUACAAAGGCUCUGCAGGCGAGUGUGUGCUUCACUGUGAGGCACAUGCUUCCUGAAGACGGUGGCAGAUGUGUUUAACAAAAACUUAGGAGAAACAGAAAUAACAUCCACAGCCUUGGGACGCCUGCUGGAAUGCAUCUCCGUCACCACCCUCCCACCUCCAAAACUCUUAUCAUUUGGGAGACUUGUCUGUCUCCCCCUCACCCCUCACCCAUCCUCGCCCCCCCUAGCCCCCCUCCCCGGCCCCAGGACCACCUUCCUUAAGAGAGAUGGAAUCCCCUGAGGAUUCCAGUCUGGCCCCACCUGGCAAGCUGCUCAGAUCGUGGGACCCUCUCCUGGAGGGCUAUCUAAUAGUUCACGUGAAACAAACUCACCUUGACCCGCACAGCAUCAUCCGAUGCUCUGAAAAAUAAAACAUCUCCCAUGGCCUGUGUGGCAAGACAUUUUGAAGGAUUGUUCAUUAUAAACAGUUACACUGGGCUUGAAAGCUUUAAAGAAGCCUUUUUGUUCUUCUUUCCUUGAAUCCUCAAAGCCAAAGUGUUGGAGAACUUUGAGCAUAGAGUUUACAUCAUAAACCAUUGAGUUCAGAAAGAUGUAUGGUAACGUAAAGGUUUUUUUCCCCACCCAAAGGAGCAGAGUUGAUCAGCAGACAGGAAGAAAAGCAGAGGGGAGGUGACUGGUAUUUAUUGGCCCUGGAAGGUCUCUGAGAGGUGGCCCAGCGCCCCCCACUCUCCACCACCACCAAACGAGAGAAAGCCUGGCCUCCUCCCAAGAGAGGAGAUUGAUGGGAAUCCUGGAAGAGAGGAGCACUGCUGGGCUCCCCAGGGUUUAGCCUAGGACACCAGCAGCAUCAUAGCAAAGCCCUGUGUCCAGCAUGGCCCAUCCAUGGGGCAGCCCUGACAGCAGGAUGCCUGGGCCUGAGGACAGGCUGCCUCACAAAGUCUCGUGCGUCUCAGAGUGUUCAGAGUCCCCAAACCCUCUAGAGGCUGCAGAGCGGCUGAGAAGGCCACCACCUAGAAAAGCCCUUGCAGCUGGGGACUGCCGGGCAAGCACGAACUCAGCUGAGGUCGGUAAGACCAGAGGAUGAUCUAUGGACCAGAACCCCUCCCCAGAUGCCAGGACAAGCCUUAAGCAGUCCAUGUCCUUCACCCCCAAAGAACUCCAGUUACCAUCCAGAGAAAAAAAGGGGUUUGAAGAGGGAAGAAUUCUGAACAGCUUGUGCUGUUACCCCAAAGAGACUGAGUCUUGAACCAGUGGAGACUAAACAACCCUGAAUUGGCAAGAUUUUUUCUGGCAUCAGAUGUAAAUGAGGAUUCAUGAGCAAAGUUGGCUUCAGUUAUGAAAAAGAAAGAAAAUUAAGUUUUUGCACACAGAGCCUCCGUGAUUCUUGCUACGCCAAUUUCUUAUUAUUGAUGGAACUGCCAGUAACCACUCAGAACCACAGCGUUCUCUGAGAUACCUUUAGAAACCACUGUCCCAGAUGGACUUCCUUCUACAGCCUAGUUUUGCUCCUUUCACACAUUUUCCAUCCACUGACCUCCAAAUAAAUGCUUUUUAAAUGUGCAUCUCUCAUUACCUCCCAUCACUGCAAGUUCUUGGUUUUACUUGACUCGACACUCGCCCCUUCUCUAAGCAAAUUUGCGUGGGCUUCUGUGAUCGUCUUUCUAUUCUGAUUUUGCAAGAUUUUUACCAAUCAGAAAGCCACAUGUGAACUACAGAUGAGAGCUGAUGAUAAAGUGUAAAAUAUCAUAAGACUGCCACAGCAAUAAACUAUUUCUUAACCUACUCUAUAACAAGAGGAAGGAAAGAUGGGUAUGGCAGACAGUCCUGCCAACCCCUUGUUCUAAUUGCAGAUUUAAUCUUGCUCAAUGAAGGCAAAUCACUGAAAGUGGCUUCUUGCGCUGGUUUUCCCUGUGCUAACACAGAAACACACUGCAAAUUCCAGAGGCCGAUAGACUUAGUAACUUCUAGGAAUUACUGCACUUAACAGAACCAGACUGGUGGUGCCUUUCUCUUAUGCCAGCUGUCCGAUUCGAUGAUUGCUUCAACACAUGAAACUUAACCCCAAGAACCAAACCAUCCAUCACUACCCACAAGGCAGCCAUUACCGGCUUCUCCACGUCAGCCAAGAAGGGCCUAUUGAAAUGUUUGUGCUUAGUCACAUGCACGACACAUAACAAGGGUACUGCCUUCCUUAAACUCAUUUUUAAAUCUAAUAUUCUUUCCCUUGUGUUUCUACAUGGUCCCACCAUCUUUGGUUCUCUGCAAGUUUCUAUAAUUCAUCUCUAAGUUUUGUCACUUUCCCUUUUCCACAAGCACCUUCCAAAAUCCAGACUUUCAUGUUGCAGCCUUUCAACUCUUUGAUCCUUUCUGAAUAUAACUGCCAACUUAUUUUCUCUAAGUAGUUUUCUUUCGAUAUGAUCACUGUAGUAGGUAAAGAUGGCUGCAAAUUCUUCACUCCUCCUCCAAUUAAGAGGUGAAGUCUAAUAAUCUCUCAUUGAUUCUGGGCAGGCCUCGGUGACUUAACCAAUUUCAACUAGCAGAAUGAGGUAGAAUUGACUUUCUGGGACUUCUGAGGCCAGAUCAUCAAAAACCUUUCAGCUUCUUCCUGGGCCUCUUGGAACAUUUACUCUUGGUACCCAAAGCUGCCAGAACAAACAACUUGGCAACAACUCAGCAGCAGGUGAAGUGCUGCCCAAUAGCAAUUCCUGUCAUCCAUGUCUGCCCUGACGGAGGGUGGGACCUAGGAAACUUCUCUGCCGUGAGCCCAAGAGUUGGGAGAAGAGGCCAUAGUCCCGCUGAUUCCUUCUUUGCCUCUUGCCUCCUCACAAGUAAAUCACUAAAUAAAGAGCCUUGAUGAGGCCAACGCCGCGGGGCCUGGAGUACUCUUCAGAGCGAUGUUGGGAGAAGCCUCUGACCUCAAUUCCCCAGUAAUGGCAUAAAAGAUUCAGGAUCCAGACUGGACCAGACUUUGGGCAGGAGACAAAGAGAGUCCCCUGUGUGUGACUUAUGCAGCAGCUCCCAGAAGGUGGCUACGAGGAUUCCCUUUCUCAUUUCUCUAGAUCUGUGCUCUAAUACGUGACGGAUCUAGGAAUAUGUAGCUAUUUAAAUUAUUUAAAAUUAAAUAAAAUUAAAAAACAAUUUCUCAUUUGUUCUAGCCACGUUUAAGGAGUUGAGUGUCUGCAAAUUUGUCACUAGUGGCUACCAUAUUGAACAGCCAUAGAACAUUUCCAUCACUGUGAAAUAUUCUAUUACUCAGUACGGCUCUAAAGUCUAGACACUUCAGGGCCUCUGGCACUGGGGCCUUCUCCAGCAAGCUAGUUUUCAUCCAAAAUGGACAACUUGCUCAUUUUAUAUCUACAUCUGAGCAAGAAUCUUCUUCAUGCCUUUCCCUUUCCUUUUGAUGAACUGUGUCAUCAUUCAGUCUGUCGUUGCUCAGCUAAAUCAUACCUGCUUACACGUUCCUCUAUAUUUUAUGUACUCAGUUUGUAUAUUAUUAUAAUGACCUUGCGUUCAUCAACGUAAUGCUUUGUCCGUAAUUGUCUCAUAUGAAUAUUUUUAUUUUUCUAGUAAAAAUAAAUGUAAGAUCUUCAGGGAUGGGAACCAUGUAUUUUUGGAGGGGUGGGGAAUCCCUCCAUUCCUUGUCCCAAAAUACUCAUAUGAAACCCUGAACGUCAGAAGUAGUCAACUGACCAGCUAAGGAGGAGGGUGUGGAGGGUUUUGUAUGGUAGGUAUCACCCCAAACUUCUGCUCCCCCGCAAUGAUUUCUAGCAGAGACAAUACUGUGGUCCCCAGUCAUAGUGUCAUAAAAUCAGCAGCAGAAUAUUUGUUACCUUUCAAUUAAAAUUAAAAAAUGACCAAAGAUUUAAAAUACAAUUACGUUAGCAAAUUAAACUGUAAAAUCUUACCACACGCUACAGUUUUGUCAUUCCUUUUUGUUAUUGUCUAAGAAAAAAAUCAUUUAUCGUGCUGUUGCUUUGACAUAUUAACUGUGUGCUUGUCAAGUAACUUGGAGAUUUCCCAACUACUCCCUGGCUUGAAAAUAAUGACAACAUAACCACUCUCAGAGAGCAAGUGCCCAAGGAGAAGAGGGGUAGGUGUGUACCCAGAACCCAGGCUUUCCUAAGAACACAAGGCGAGGGUCCUGGUACAGAAGAUUUGAAUGCAGAGGAAAGCCUGCAUUCAAAUACAUUUCCUGAGAGGAGAGUCUUUUCCCUAUGCUGUCUCAAGAAAAAGAGAGAGGGGCUGGCCAGUGGCGCAGCAGUUAAGUGCGCACGUUCCGCUUUAGCGACCUGAGGUUCGCCGGUUCCGAUCCCGGGUGCAGACAUGGCACUGCUUGGCAGAAGCCAUGCUGUGGUAGGCGUCCCACAUAUAAAGUAGAGGAAGAUGGGCAUGGAUGUUAGCUCAGGGUCGGUCUUCCUCAGCAAAAAGAGGAAGAUUGGCAGUAGUUAGCUCAGGGCUAAUCUUCCUCAAAAAAAAAAAAAGGAGAGAAUCUUGGGAAUAAAAUGGUGAUGGCUAAGAAAGUAUUGAGCACUCUUUCUGCUUUCCCUGCUCCCAGUGUGGAAGUAGUGAGGUAGGUACCUGGAAGACCGGUAAAAACCAGCAGUUUGGGAAAGACCCUGACACAGUCUCUGCAGAGAGACCAGUCCAAGCCAGGGAGGGGAGGGAGUGUAGCCCACAGACAAAAACAGUGCCAGCACACCGUGGGCUCAGGGGCAGCAUGGCGCCCCCAGCGCUACCAUCUCACGUGCGGGUCUGCUACACCUUUUGUCUGGUUUAUCCCUUAGUUGUUCAUAUUAUUGAUACUAUUGUAAUGGGUAUUGCUUAUAAAUUUCAAUUCCUGAAUGUUCAUUGCUAGUAUAUAGAAAUACAGCUGACCUUUGUAUAUUGAUCUUGUGACCCGCAAAACUCACUUAGUUCUAGUAGCUGUUUUAUAGAUUUCAGAGGAUUUUCUACACAAACCACCAUGUUGUCUGCAAAAUAGUUUUACUUCCUCUUUUCCAAUCUGGAUGACUUUUAUUUCAUUUCUUGACUUUUUACACCAACUAAAUCCUUUAGUACGAUGCUGAAUAGAAGCGAGGAAUGCUUUCAGCCUUUCACCAUCAAGUAUGAUGUUAGCUCAUGGUCUUUCAUAGACGCCUCUUAUCAGGUUGAGGAAGUGACUUCUAUUCUCAAUUUUCUGAGAAUUUUUGUCAGGGAUAGAUGUCGGAUUUUGUCAAGAGCUUUUUCUGCAUCUGUUGAGAUGAUUAUACAGUUUUUCUCUCUCACAUAUUUUAUUAAUAUGGUGAAUUAUAUUUAUGGAGUUUCCAAUGUUAAGCCAAUGCUUGCGUUCCUGGGAUAAAGCGUAGCUGGCCAUGAUGUAUUAGCCUUUUUAUAUAUUAUUGAAUUGGAUUUACUAGUAUUUUAUUUAGAAUUAUAUCUAUCUUAAUACGGAAUAUUGGUCUAUAGUUACCUUUUCUUGUCAGGUGCUGUCUGGUUUUGCUGUCUGAUUGGUGCUAGCCUAGAGAUAGGAGAACUCAUGAGCUGGGAAGUGUUUAUUCCUCUUCAAUUCUCUGGAAGAGUUUGUGCAGAACUGAUAUGAUUUCUUUCUUAAGUGUUUGGUAGCAUCCACCAGGAAAGUUAUUUGGGCCUGAAGUUUUCUUUGUGGGAAGAUUUUUAACUACAAAUUCAAUAUCUUUAAUAGAUAAAGAGCUAGUCAAGUUAUCUGUUUCUUCUUGAAUGAAGUUGGUAGUUUGUGUCUUUCAAAGAAUUUGUCCAUUUCAUCUGUGUCGAUGUUUCUUGCAUAAUUUUGUUCCUAAUAUUCUGUUAUUAUCCUUUUAGUAUUUGUAAUGUAGUGCAGUGAUAUCAUCUAAGUCCUGCUGUUAUAUUUCUGUCUUCUCUUUUUUAUUGUCGAUCAUUCUGGCUAGAGGUUUAUCAACUUUAUUGAUCGUCUCAAAGAAGGUCAGAUCAAAUCAGCUUUUGGUGUUAUAGAUUUCUCACAAUAGAGAAAUUAAAUUAAGUUUCUGUUUUCUAUUUAAUUGCUUUCUGCUUUCAUCUUUAUUAUUUCUUAUCUUUUGCUUGCUGUGGGUGUAAUUUGUUCUUCUUUUUCUAAUUACAGUGAAGGCUGAGGUCAUUGAUUUGACACUUUUCUGCUUUUUAAAAUAGGCAUUUAGUGCUAUAAAUUUCUCCAUAAAUGAUUUAUCCUUCCAUAUAUAAGAACCUUACAAUACUAUAGUUUCAUUUCUCCCCGCCUGCCCUUUUGUGUUGUGUCAUUUAUUUUACUUUUACAUUGCACUUCUGUUUGAACAGUCAAUUUUCUUUUAAAGAAAUUUAAGCAAUAAUUUCAUUGCAAUUCCUAGUUCUCAUUAUUCCUUUGGAUAGAUCCAGAUCUUAUCUAUCAUCAUUUUCCUUCUGCCUAAAGAAUUGCCUUUAACGUUUUUGUAGUAUAAGCCUGCUGUGGAUGAAUUCAGCUUUUGUAUGUUUAAAAUGGUUUAAUUUUUCCUUUGUUUUUGAAAGAUAUUUUUACUGUGUAUAGAAUUCUAGCCUGACAGGUUUUUUUCUUCCAGUUCUUUAGAGAUGAUUCUCCAAAAUCUUCUAACUUACAUUAUUUCUGUGAGAAGUCUGCCAUCUUGUCACCCUUAUUUCUCUGUGGGUGUGUUUUUUUCACUGACUGCUUUUAAGAUUUUUCUUUUUCACUGGUUUUAAGCAAUUUGAUUAUGCUGAAACUUAGUGUACUUUUCUUUGUGUUUCUUGGGGUUCAUUGAGCUUCUUGGACCUGUGGGUUUAUAGUUUUCAUCCAAUUUGGAAAAGUUCUGGCCAUUAUUUUCAAAUAUUUCUUCUGUCACUCCCUCCCUUCCUCUUGGGGACUUCAAUUACAAGUGUUUGGGUGCUUGAAAUUGUCCUACAGUUCACUGAUGCUCUGUCCUUCUAUUUGUUAGUUUGUUUUCCCCUGUGUUUCAUUUUGAUGGUUUCUGUUGCUGUGUCUUUAAAUUCAUUAAUCUAUUCUUCUGCAAUGUCUAAUCUGCUGUUAAUCUCAUCCAGUGUAUUUCUUCUCUCAGACAUUUUUUCUCUCAGACAGAGUUUUCGUCUCUAGACAUUAGAGGUGGGUCUUCUUUUUUUUUCUUUUUUUCACAUCUUCCGUUUCUCAACUUGCUUCUUUGAACAGAUGGAAUACAAUUAUAAUCGCUGCUUGAAUGCCCUUGUCUGAUUCUCACAUCUGCAUUGCCUUUUAUUUGGUUUUGAUUGAUUAAUUUUUCACCUCCUUAUUUUCCUACUUGUUUGCAUACGUGGUAACUUUUUAUUGGAUGCCAAACACUGUGGAUUUUAACUUGUUGGAUGUGGGAUAUUUUUGAGUCCUGGGAUGCAUUUUAGUUCUUGGAAAUACUUUGACUAUUUUGGGUCUUGCUUUUGUGACUUAUUAGGCAGGAUCACAGCAACAUUCAGUUUUGCUGGAGCAUGAUCUUUCUUAUUCCUCUACUGAAUGCCUGCAAAUUGUAAGGUUUUCCAUUCUGGCUGGUGGGAACAGAAAUUGUUCCUGGCCAUGUAUACUGUCUACUAUUUCAUCUAAUCGUUAGGAUAGUUCUUUUUCUGGCCUCAAGUAGUUUCCUCACAUGCACGUGAUGAUCGAUACUCUGCUGAAUUCUUAAAGGGGCCCCUCUGCAAAUCUGAAGUUCUCUCUGACGGAGCUUUCUCCUCUGUGGCAUUCUUCCUGUGAACUGCAGCCACCGUGGUCCCCCUUGGCUCUCAGCUCUGUCCCGUCAGUCCAGGAAGUUUGGAGAGUCCUGCCUGGGUCCUCCUUUUCUGAGAAAAUGGCUGGGCAUUCUUCCAUGGCCUGGAAACUCUCUCAAGUCAGUAAGCAGGGGCAAUUGUAGGGCUCACCUCAUUUCUUUCCUUUCUCUCAGGAAUCACUGUCCUUCAUUGGCUGAUGUCCAGUAUCUUAAAAACCCUGGCUUCAUGUAUUUUAUACAGUUCUUUUGGUUGUCUCUGGUGAGAAAGUAAAUCCAGGCCCUAUUACUCAAUCUUGGCUGGCAGCAGAAUUCAGCUACAUAGUUUCCAAAAUUCAUAGAUAUAAUAGUUUACCGUGAACGUGUCUAAAAUUCUUUAUGCAGCUCAAAAAAUUUUUAUUUUAAUUUUGGUUAGAAAUUAUCUAUACAACAUAACCUAGAAUUAGUAAAUGUUAGCCAAGAGCAAGACUUUUGAGGAAUGAAGUAAAUUGUGGAUGAUGUCGGGUAAAGGACAGCCUGGCAACUGUCAGAUCCAGAGAGACCAGCUGUGAAGCACGAGCCUGACUGGAAAAGUCCCAGGGUUGUAUCCCUGGGGGUGGAAAGGAAAGAACAGUUGUGAAGAAGGGAGGGAAGGAAGGAAAGGACAAGGGAGGGAGGGAGGGAGACGUAUGCAGUCCAAGGAACGCGAUCCUCCAUCUCCAGGAUUGCCAACUCUAAAGGUUUGGAAGGAAGAAUUAUUAACACUUAGGAUUAGUUGAGUACAGGCAUCAGGAGGGAGAAAUUUGAAAGGAGAUUCUAAGCAUGUUCAAAAAAAUUGUUAGGGAAAAAGAUAUUCUGCGUUAGUGGCUCUCAAAUUUCCUGGAGAACCUUUCAGGGGUCCACAAAGUCAAAACUACUUUGAUAAUAAUUCAAAGACAGUGUGUGCCUUCUUCACACACGCUCUCUCACAAGCCUACAGGGCUUCUCCAGAAUCUACACGUUGUCCCUCUCAAAGAGGACUGAGUGUGGAAGCAGACAGGAGCGUUCACCUGUCUUCUGUUGAGCCAAAUAUUAGAGAGAUAUAGAGGACAGCGUAAACCAUGUAAAACAAUGCUACUUUUCUAAUUUAUUUUUUUCAAAAGAUAAUUAUUUUUAUAAAAGAGAUGUCAUUUAGGUUAACAGGUAAUGAAUUUAUCAUUAUUUUUAAAUGAUCAAUAAAAAUUUAUUUUUAAGCUUAUUUUAAUGUUUAAUACAGUUGAUAUCAAUAGUUAACCGUAUAAACAAAUCUCUUUAAAGUUCUCAAUAAUAUUUAUAAGUAUGUAAAGGGGUCCUUAGACCACAAGUCUGAGAACUUCAGUUCCACCUAAAGCUUUUGCAGCCCUGUGGAGACCACUGCGUGGUUCCUGGAAGCAUCUUCUCAGGAGCAAGGACAACGGGCAGGUCAAGAAGCCAGAAGGGAGAAUCAACCCCAAGACCAACUGCUUCCCCUAUUACCCAGAGUUUGAAAUGACAUUCACAGAACAGCAGCCCUACAAGCCUCACCCGUAAGGAACUGGGUUCUAACUCUUCACUGAGAUCUUAACUGCACUUUGAGGUAACACAGGUCUACCUUGAAUUUCUCGAAGGCUCUGCGAAAUCGCCAGUGCCGUUUCCAAUUUCCUUCACCACCACGUUCCUAACGGUUCUUCUGGCCCAUGCCUAAUAAUUGAUCAUUUAUGUAAGAAGGAAAUGUGUAAAUAUCAAGCACUAUUGUGUGUCUGACAGUGAGUUAGAUGCUUUAGGAGGACAUCGUAUUUCAUGCUCAGCACGCUAUGAACCAUAUCACUGUCUCCUCCUCUUACAGACAGAAACAGAAGUUCUGCAGAGCUUAAGGAACUCGCCUAAGAUUACUCAGGGAGUGAAAUACCAAAUUGGGACUCAGCUCAUGCUCCAAAGCUGAUGAUCUUUCCUGUGCCUAUUGUUGCCUUUUCCAGUUUCACCAUUUAUCUUAGUGUCACUGUUUAUAAAGUGAAAAACACCCUAAAACAGGUAGGAGCUGGGAAGUCUGCUUUCUAGAACUAGAAGGCGUAUAGCCUCUAGCCUAGUGGUUAGGAGUGUAGACAAUGGAGCCUUACUGCCGUAAGUUACAUCUCAACUCUACCGUGUACUAGCUGUGUGGUGCUGAGCAAGUCACCUGAGACUUGCUGUGACUUCUCUGUGUCUCAGUUUUCUUGACAGUAAAAUAGUGUUAUUAGUAGUUUCUACUUUACUGGUUUGGUGUACUAAAUAAGUUAAUAAUAAGUUAAUAAUAAUAAGUUAAGUAAAGGCUGAAUAAGUUAAUGUGUAAAAAGCAGUUAAACAUUGUCUGACACAUAGUCAAUGGUAGAGGCGAUGGUUAUUUGCCAUAUAUUAGUUGUGUCUGGGUAACUUAGGCUUUUUGAACCUAUGAAAUAGGUAUAAAAAUAUCUGCUCAGUUGCACCACAGAGUUACUGAGAAAAUUACAGAUAACUAAAGUACCUGACAACAUUUGUAACUGAAUAAUAUUAUGCAAAUAAGCAAAUAUUACAGAAGGUUUGUUAGGCAUAAACUCCUAACGUGAUAUCACUUUUGGAAUACAGAGUUUUCUGGUAAAGAGUGGGUCGGUAUUUCUGGCUAAAAGAGAAUACACUAGUCACCACAAUUGAUAAAUUCCUCAUUCCAAAAACACAGCCAAAACCACAUUCAGAAAGCAGGGUAUUUCUGCACCAGCACCCCAGGCUAAAGUAAGUGGGUGUGAGAUGUGUACAUAACUCAGUCUUCGUGAGGGGCCGGUGAAGAAAUCUCGGGCACUGCGAUCCAAGCAGCACUCAGAGAUAAAGAAGCACUUAAAGGAAACAAAAGGGCCGUUUGCAACCAGAAGUUUCUCAACAUUCCUUACGUAAACUCAGAAAUUUAAUUAUUGCCAUGACAAAGUGGUUCUGCUUCUCUUCGUUUUUCAUUGUUAAAAAAGUUUUAACCAAACUUGAAUCAUUUCCUGUCCUAACUGCAAGACCUCUUUCCCGUUCCUCCUACGUACUAAACUGCAAAUCACUGUUGCCAAAGAAAUCGUCCUCCUCGUCGCCAAAUAAUCUCAAGCCGUUAGACGUCACACGCACAUGUACACACACAUGCACAUGCACACACAUCCCUACCCUGUCAUAAAUCCCUGCUGGUGCUUCAUAGCACAUGUCACCAUCUAACUUCCUUUGCAUAUCAGUUUGUGAUCU
rnacentral:lncRNA from 1 species